GAUGAACGCUGGCGGCGUGCCUAAUACAUGCGAGUCGAGCGAACAGAUGAGGAGCUUGCUCCUCUGACGUUAGCGGCGGACGGGUGAGUAACACGUGUAUAACCUACCUAUAAGACUGGGAUAACUUCGGGAAACCGUAGCUAAUACCGGAUAAUAUAUUGAACCGCAUUGUUCAAUAGUUAAAUACGGUUUUUCUUUCACUUAUAGAUGGAUCCGCGCCGAAUUAGUUGGUUGUUAAGGUAACGGCUUACCAAGGCAACGAUGCGUAGCCGACCUGAGAGGGUGAUCGGCCACACUGGCAGUGAGACACGGCACAGACUCCUACGGGAGGCAGCAGUAGGGAAUCUUCCGCAAUGGGCGAAAGCCUGACGGAGCACCGCCGCGUGAGUGAUGAAGGUCUUCGGCUCGUAAAACUAUGUUAUUAGGGAAGAAGAAAUGUGUAAGUAACCAUGCACGUCUUGACGGUACCUAAUCAGAAAGCCACGGCUAACUACGUG
rnacentral:rRNA from 1 species